CGCUCCAAACGUGAGCUGUCCAUGGACAGAGUAAGAGGGUGUGUUCAGUGGUUUCAGCUUCCAUGUGGCAAAUGGAACAUAAAGGAUCAGGUAUUAUCUUUCUCCUGUGAAGAUUAUCCCUUGUUGGUAGGGCGUUGUGGCAUGCUUGCUAAAGAAAUAAUCUGAUUUUGGGUAGGGUGUGAGUCUGCUUGAUGUAUUUCCAGAGAUCUGGAUUGAUUUGAUGAGAUGAGGUUGCUACUGUGGUAUGAUAAUUGUUUGGGUUGUCUCUGGCUGAAAAGUAACCACUUUUAGUUGAGUAAAGACCAGAUUUGGUGUGCAUCCAGACCAAUUUAUCUCUUGAAUUAGGCAAACCAAUGGGGGUAGCUAGUAUUUCUCUCACAAUUCCUUCAUCAAACAGCUUUUCCACCUUCUCUGUUUUCCACUUUCCUGUCUCUUGUUCGAUCAAUUCUGCCACUUGAACAGGUUCAUUUCUUGUUGCUAGACCACCUAUAGGGCCUCUCUUCAGCCAUAUGUGGCGUGAUAGAAUCUCUUCCCUGAAUUAUACUUUGCCAACCCCAUGAUGGGCAAGAUCCUUUUCCAGCUUUCCAGAAAUCACCCUGUGGAUAAUAUAAACCCCUCAUUACUUUACUCAAUAGAAACUGAGGAUUCUGUGAGAUUCGCCACGCUUGUUUCCCCAGCAGAGCUGUAUUGAAAGUUGUAAUAUCUUUGAAGCCAAGACCCCCUUCAUCCUUUCUGAGUUUCAAGGAUUCCCAUAUCUUCCAAUGUAUACCAGCAUGUGUGAUGUUCGUUUUCCACCAGAAAUUUGCGGUCCUCUUCUCAAUAGCUUUGAAUAUAGACACUGAGAUUCUGAAUAUUGACAUAGCAUAUUGAGGGAUAGCCUGAACCACUGAUUUGAUUAAAAUCUCCUUCCCCGCUUUUGAUAACAAGCUUUCCUUCCAGCUUUCUAACUUUCUAUUAACUCGCGCUAGGAUCCACGCGAACAUAUCUUUCUUUGAGGAACCCCAAUCUGAGGGAAUUCCCAAGUAUUUCCCUGUUUUCUCUAUCUCGGGAACUCGUAGUGUUGUGGCCAUAUUUCUCCUCAACGUAGUAGGGCAGAAUUUGCCGAAGUAUAUACCUGAUUUAUUAAGAUUUAUGGCCUGACCAGAAGCAAAGCAAUAUUCGUGUAGGAUCAUCACCAGGUUUUGACAUUCUAAGAUUGUGCCAUUGAGGAAAAAUAUAGAGUCAUAUGCAAAUAACAAGUGUGAAAGGAUGGGGCAGUUGUUGUUCAGUUUAAUACCUCUAAGUGUGCCAUCAUCCACUGCUUUCCUCAUCAUGGUUGAUAGUACAUUAGCUACUAAUAUGAAAAGAAAUGGUGAUAGUGGAUCACCUUGGCGAAGUCCUCUAGUUGGCCUGAAAGAAGGAAGAGCCUCCCCAUUAAAAUUGACACUGAAUGUAACUGUAGAAACACACUGCAUCACCCAUUGCACCCACUGUUCACUGAAUCCCAUUUUAGUUAAACAUGCUCUUAGGAAGUCCCAUUCAAUCCGAUCAUACGCCUUCUGCAUAUCUAACUUUAACACUGCUUGAUACUUCUUUUUCCUCUCCCGAGUUCAUAAUCUGUGGAGAACCUCUUGUACAAUCAAUAUAUUGUCUUGUAUUUGCCUUCCCCCCACGAAAUCACUUUCUUCUUCUGCAAUGAGUUGAGCUAUGAGAGGUUUUAAUCUGUUUGACAGCACAUUUGAGAUGAUUUUAUAUGCAAAAUUGCAAAGGCUAAUAGGGCGGAACUGCUCAAGCUUUUCUGGGUUUGGGGUCUUAGGAAUGAGGGUUAUAAGUGUUCUGUUCAGAUCAAGAUGGAGGUAACCGGUGGCGAAAAAGUCUGUAUUUCUGUGAAUAUAUCCGAUCAAUAUUUGGCCAAUGAUUUCUAAAAAAAAGGCCAUGCAUGCCAUCUGGUCCAGGAGCUUUAUUGGCUCCCAACUGCUGUUUUGAUUUCCUCCAUGCUAACAGAUUCAACGAGUCUUUGAUUCAUUUGCACAUCCACCAAAGCUGGAAUUUGUUGUAAGAGGGGCUAGAAGUUUCGAGGCCCCACUAACUCGUAUAGUUUUUGAAAAUAUGUACCGGUCAUAUCUUUUAGCUGCUGCUCUUCACGCACCCAAACAUCUUCUACAUUUUUCAACAUCUAUAUCUAAUUUCUAAUUCUCCUCUGGAUAGUUGUGGCAUGAAAGAAUUUGUUGUUCUUAUCCCCCCAGUUCAACCAAUUAAUUCUAGACCGCAUUCCCAAAUACAUUUCUUCUUGUCUCCACAAUUGGUCAAUUUCUUUGAUUAAUUCCUUUGCUGCCUUGCUCUCAUUGAAAGUGCAUGUACUGUUCAUUAAGUGUUGUAGCUCGCGAGUCAGCCACGUGAUCCUCUUUCUAGCAUUAGUGAAAAUUUGUUAUGGCUCCAUUUUAACAACUUUUGUGACACUAUAUGCAGUUUCUCCGCCACGCAAAGCUGUUGGAGAGCCGGUUCAGUCCAAGUAUCCCUUACUAGUGUCACACAAUCCUCCUCCUCUGCCCAGAAAGCUUCGUAUCUAAAGCUCUUCCCCUUUCUUUUCCUCGGAGGGCUGGUCGCAAGAAUAAUUGG
rnacentral:lncRNA from 1 species